CCUACGGGAGGCAGCAGUAAGGAAUAUUGGUCAAUGGACGCAAGUCUGAACCAGCCAUGCCGCGUGCAGGAAGACGGCCCUAUGGGUUGGAAACUGCUUUUGUACGGGAAAAAACCUCCGGUCGUGCACCGAGCUGAUGUACGAGAAUA
rnacentral:rRNA from 1 species